GAGGUUGCGGCGGAAGCAGAGACCAUGUUCCGAGCCGCGGCUCCGGGGCAGCUCCGGCGGGCGGCCUCAUUGCUACGAUUUCAGAGUACCCUGGUAAUAGCUGAGCAUGCAGAUGAUUCUCUAGCACCCAUUACUUUAAAUACCAUUACUGCAGCCACACGCCUUGGAGGUGAAGUGUCCUGCUUAGUAGCUGGAACCAAAUGUGACAAGGUGGCACAAGAUCUCUGUAAAGUAGCAGGCAUAGCAAAAGUUCUGGUGGCUCAGCAUGAUGUGUACAGAGGCCUACUUCCAGAGGAACUGACACCAUUGAUUUUGGCAACUCAGAAGCAGUUCAAUUACACACACAUCUGUGCUGGAGCAUCUGCCUUCGGAAAGAACCUUUUGCCCAGAGUAGCAGCCAAACUUGAGGUUGCCCCGAUUUCUGACAUCAUUGCAAUCAAGUCACCUGACACAUUUGUGAGAACUAUUUAUGCAGGAAAUGCUCUAUGUACAGUGAAGUGUGAUGAGAAAGUGAAAGUGUUUUCUGUCCGUGGAACAUCCUUUGAAGCUGCAGCAACAAGUGGCGGUAGUGCCAGUUCAGAAAAGGCAUCAAGUACUUCACCAGUGGAAAUAUCAGAGUGGCUUGACCAGAAAUUAACAAAAAGUGAUCGACCAGAGCUAACAGGUGCCAAAGUGGUGGUAUCCGGUGGUCGAGGCUUGAAGAGUGGAGAGAACUUUAAGUUGUUAUAUGACUUGGCAGAUCAACUACAUGCUGCAGUUGGUGCUUCCCGUGCUGCUGUUGAUGCUGGCUUUGUUCCCAAUGACAUGCAAGUUGGACAGACAGGAAAAAUAGUAGCACCAGAACUUUAUAUUGCUGUUGGAAUAUCUGGAGCCAUCCAACAUUUAGCUGGGAUGAAAGACAGCAAGGUAAUUGUAAAUCAGUGAUGUUAAAAGAAAACGUUUCCACAUUUUAGGAUUUGGCUUACCUUGUAUGUUUCCAUGUAGUUACAGUGCAUGCAGUCAAGCCAUUCACACUAACGUAGAUCUGGGAACUGAAAGAAAUAAAAGCUACCGUUCACUGCCUUAAAAAUUAUUGGUCACAGAGGCAGUGCUGUGUCAUGGAAAGAGGCCUGAACCUGAGUUAUAGCUCCACUGCUAACUUAAUGCAUGAUGAGUGCUGUCUGCAAACUCAGUUUCUUUGUCUACUAAAUGUGGGUAUUGAAUGAUGGUCACUAAGUUGCCCUUCAGCUGUGACAAUCUGUGGAUAGAAAAUAUCAGCCUUAAACAAUUUGAUGAGGUUCUGAACGUGUAACUUAUUUUUGAGGUUUUGAUCCCUGAUUCUCUCUCUGUCUGCUUCACUUUGGUCCUCUAACCCUCACAAUCUCAUAUAUCAGCAGGGCCCCACUUCUUGGGUUGUUAUCAAAGUAUAACCAACACAUUUUGGGUUGGAGCAUCAGGCCAUCUUAAUAUCUCAGUAUCUCAGUAAUGAUCAAAAGUGCAAUAAGUAUGGGGCUGGGUGCGAUGGCUCACGCCUGUAAUCCCAGCACUUUGGGAGGCCGAGGGCGGCAGAUCAUGAGGUCAGGAGAUCGAGACCAUUCUGGCUAACAUGGUAAAACCCCGUCUCUACUAAAAAUACAAAAAAAAUUAGCCAGGCAUGGUGGCGGGUGCCUGUAGUCCCAGCUAUUCGGGAGGCUGAGGCAGGAGAAUGGCGUGAACCCUGGAGGCGGAGCUUGCAGUGAGCCGAG
rnacentral:sRNA from 1 species